AAAAGGGGUAAAAAUGGUGUUGGAUGGAGACUAGACUUUGGGUAGUGGACACACAAUGCAAUAUACAAAGUGUGUAUUAUACAAUUGUACACCUGAUG